rnacentral:rRNA from 1 species
AGAACGAACGCUGGCGGCAGGCUUAACACAUGCAAGUCGAACGCUCGUAGCAAUACGGGAGUGGCAGACGGGUGAGUAACGCGUGGGAACAUACCCUCCGGUUCGGAAUAGCUCAGGGAAACUUGGAUUAAUACCGGAUACGGCCGAGAGGCGAAAGAUUUAUCGCCGGAGGAUUGGCCCGCGUUCGAUUAGCUAGUUGGUGAGGUAAUGGCUCACCAAGGCGAUGAUCGAUAGCUGGUCUGAGAGGAUGAUCAGCCACAUUGGGACUGAGACACGGCCCAAACUCCUACGGGAGGCAGCAGUGGGAAUAUUGGACAAUGGGCGCAAGCCUGAUCCAGCCAUGCCGCGUGAGUGAUGAAGGCCUUAGGGUUGUAAAGCUCUUUCGCUCGGGACGAUAAUGACGGUACCGAGAUAAGAAGCCCCGGCUAACUCGUGCCAGCAGCCGC